rnacentral:rRNA from 1 species
ACUCAGUGAAAUUGAACUCGCUGUGAAGAUGCAGUGUACCCGCGGCAAGACGGAAAGACCCCGUGAACCUUUACUAUAGCUUGACACUGAACAUUGAGCCUUGAUGUGUAGGAUAGGUGGGAGGCUUUGAAGUGUGGACGCCAGUCUGCAUGGAGCCGACCUUGAAAUACCACCCUUUAAUGUUUGAUGUUCUAACGUUGACCCGUAAUCCGGGUUGCGGACAGUGUCUGGUGGGUAGUUUGACUGGGGCGGUCUCCUCCUAAAGAGUAACGGAGGAGCACGAAGG